rnacentral:rRNA from 1 species
CAUAGCGACUAUCGUGGCAUAUCAAUAAGCGGAGGAAAAGAAACUAACAAGGAUUCCCCUAGUAACGGCGAGUGAAGCGGGAAGAGCUCAAAUUUGAAAUCUUCAAGGUUUGACCUUGACGAAUUGUAGUUUAAAGAAGUGUUUUCGGUUAGAGGAGUAGUAAAAGUUCUUUGGAAUAGGACAUCAUAGAGGGUGAGAAUCCCGUAUUUGACUAUUCUUUCUAGCUUUGUGAUACACUUUCAAAGAGUCGGAUUGAUUGGGAAUGCAGUCCAAAAUGGGUGGUAAAUUUCAUCUAAAGCUAAAUAUUGGCGAGAGACCGAUAGCGAACAAGUACCGUGAGGGAAAGAUGAAAAGAACUUUGAAAAGAGAGUUAAACAGUACGUGAAAUUGUCAAAAGGGAAGCGUUCGACACCAGUGUUGUUUUUCCGAAAAUCAAUUAAAAAUUGAUUCAUGCCUAGGUUGUAUUGACCUCAUCAGCUUGCAAUUUAGUUUUGGGUCUCUUUUUGAUGCACUUUUCGGUUAACAAGUCAACAUCAAUUUCCUUUGCUGUAAAAAGGUAAGAGGAAGGUGGCUUCAAUUUCGGUUGAAGUGUUUAUAGCCUUUUAUCUCUGCAGUCGGGGAGAUUGAGGUCUGCAGCGUAGAUCCUUCGGGGCUAGAUACAUUUAUGCUAAGUUAUAGCUUUUCAUAGACAACUUGUUGACUAUGUUUAGUCAUGUAGCUUACUCGUAAGUGCUAUUUUACCUACGCUUAGGAUGUUGACGAGACUGUCGAUCUC